rnacentral:rRNA from 1 species
UUGUCCACCGGAGCUGGCUCCACCGGAAAAAGAAGAGUGGCGAACGGGUGAGUAACACGUGGGUAACCUGCCCAUCAGAAGGGGAUAACACUUGGAAACAGGUGCUAAUACCGUAUAACAAUCGAAACCGCAUGGUUUUGAUUUGAAAGGCGCUUUCGGGUGUCGCUGAUGGAUGGACCCGCGGUGCAUUAGCUAGUUGGUGAGGUAACGGCUCACCAAGGCCACGAUGCAUAGCCGACCUGAGAGGGUGAUCGGCCACAUUGGGACUGAGACACGGCCCAAACUCCUACGGGAGGCAGCAGUAGGGAAUCUUCGGCAAUGGACGAAAGUCUGACCGAGCAACGCCGCGUGAGUGAAGAAGGUUUUCGGAUCGUAAAACUCUGUUGUUAGAGAAGAACAAGGAUGAGAGUAACUGUUCAUCCCUUGACGGUAUCUAACCAGAAAGCCACGGCUAACUACGUGCCAGCAGCCGCGGUAAUACGUAGGUGGCAAGCGUUGUCCGGAUUUAUUGGGCGUAAAGCGAGCGCAGGCGGUUUCUUAAGUCUGAUGUGAAAGCCCCCGGCUCAACCGGGGAGGGUCAUUGGAAACUGGGAGACUUGAGUGCAGAAGAGGAGAGUGGAAUUCCAUGUGUAGCGGUGAAAUGCGUAGAUAUAUGGAGGAACACCAGUGGCGAAGGCGGCUCUCUGGUCUGUAACUGACGCUGAGGCUCGAAAGCGUGGGGAGCAAACAGGAUUAGAUACCCUGGUAGUCCACGCCGUAAACGAUGAGUGCUAAGUGUUGGAGGGUUUCCGCCCUUCAGUGCUGCAGCUAACGCAUUAAGCACUCCGCCUGGGGAGUACGACCGCAAGGUUGAAACUCAAAGGAAUUGACGGGGGCCCGCACAAGCGGUGGAGCAUGUGGUUUAAUUCGAAGCAACGCGAAGAACCUUUACCAGGUCUUGACA